rnacentral:rRNA from 1 species
UGGGGAAUAUUGCACAAUGGGCGCAAGCCUGAUGCAGCCAUGCCGCGUGUGUGAAGAAGGCCUUCGGGUUGUAAAGCACUUUCAGCGGGGAGGAAGGCGUUAAGGUUAAUAACCUUGGCGAUUGACGUUACCCGCAGAAGAAGCACCGGCUAACUCCGUGCCAGCAGCCGCGGUAAUACGGAGGGUGCAAGCGUUAAUCGGAAUUACUGGGCGUAAAGCGCACGCAGGCGGUCUGUCAAGUCGGAUGUGAAAUCCCCGGGCUCAACCUGGGAACUGCAUUCGAAACUGGCAGGCUAGAGUCUUGUAGAGGGGGGUAGAAUUCCAGGUGUAGCGGUGAAAUGCGUAGAGAUCUGGAGGAAUACCGGUGGCGAAGGCGGCCCCCUGGACAAAGACUGACGCUCAGGUGCGAAUGCGUGGGGAGCAAACAGG